UGUGGGAUCGUCUAAUGGUAGGACGACGGACUUUGACUCCGUUAAUCUAGGUUCGAGUCCUAGUCCCACAG
rfam:Parcubacteria bacterium 32_520 MPJ_scaffold_3387, whole genome shotgun sequence.